CUUCGGGAACUGUGAGACAGGUGCUGCAUGGCUGUCGUCAGCUCGUGUUGUGAAAUGUUGGGUUAAGUCCCGCAACGAGCGCAACCCUUAUCCUUUGUUGCCAGCGGUCCGGCCGGGAACUCAAAGGAGACUGCCAGUGAUAAACUGGAGGAAGGUGGGGAUGACGUCAAGUCAUCAUGGCCCUUACGACCAGGGCUACACACGUGCUACAAUGGCGCAUACAAAGAGAAGCGACCUCGCGAGAGCAAGCGGACCUCAUAAAGUGCGUCGUAGUCCGGAUUGGAGUCUGCAACUCGACUCCAUGAAGUCGGAAUCGCUAGUAAUCGUGGAUCAGAAUGCCACGGUGAAUACGUUCCCGGGCCUUGUACACACCGCCCGUCACACCAUGGGAGUGGGUUGCAAAAGAAGUAGGUAGCUUAACCUUCGGGAGGGCGCUUACCACUUUGUGAUUCAUGACUGGGGUGAAGUCGUAACAAGGUAACCGUAGGGGAACCUGC
rnacentral:rRNA from 1 species